rnacentral:lncRNA from 1 species
GGGAGGAAGAGUGGAGGAAGAGGAGGGGGAAGAAGGAAGGAGGAAGGGCCGUACCAAGUCACCGGUGAACAUUCCCAGCACACACAGGACUCCUCCCAGAAACAGACAGGUGGAAGCUGACCACUAAAAGCUGGCUAGAGAGAGCCAGGGCACUCAGGACUAGGGGGAGAGUUGAAGUAUUAUGUUGGCAAAAGACUCUAUGGGUAUCCUCACUUGACUAGAAGAAGGAUUACUUUUUCCUUGGACCCAGGAAUCUGCUGAGGUGUUCACAGCUGCCUGCCUGCCUGCCCUGUCAGAUAGUAGAAGUGGUGAGAUGAUGACCAAGUUGGAUGGUGAACGGAAGAUUCUCGACACCAGAAUGACCUUCUGCCUGAAAAGUUCAUCCAGAGAGUCAUCACUUUGUACCCCUGAUCAGCGUGCUAAGCAAAGAGCAGCUGUGACUCAGCCUGGUGACUGAAGAGAUGGUUCCUGGUUCUUUUAUAGGGCACCUGUGUCCAUUUUGCUGCUGUGGACAUCCAUCUUUA